rnacentral:lncRNA from 1 species
UGUUUAUGUUAGAGAGUGGUGCAAUAGUUGAGGUGGGCAAGAUUCUAAAGUUCUUUGUCUGUAUCCAUAUUUUAAAGGAAACAUCCUCAAGCGAAGAGAAUAUUUAUGUGGUAAGGUAAUUCUUGGCAGAAGACAGAAGCCUCUGAAGCUUUCUGAUGGAAUGGAGGGAGUCAACAAACUCAGAUCUCAUUCUCUGCAUCCCUUUGUAUCCCAACACCUUGUCAGGAAAUAAUCCAGGAUCAGUCAUUUGCAUGUCAGUGUGAAUUCAAAUCUACUCAUUCCUAUUUUCAAUAAUUAUCAAAAACCCAUUAAAGAU